AAAAGUAAGUAAGGGCACAUGGCGGAUGCCUUGGCUCUCGGAGGCGAUGAAGGACGUGAUAAGCUGCGAUAAGCUGCGGGUAGGUGCAAAUGACCUUUGAUCCGCGGAUUUCCGAAUGGGACAACCCGGUACUUUGAAGAAGUAUCAUCCUGCAUUGCAGGAGGCUAACGCAGGGAACUGAAACAUCUUAGUACCUGCAGGAAAAGAAAAUAAACAAUGAUUCCCCCAGUAGUGGCGAGCGAACGGGGAAUAGCCCAAACCAUCCAUGUUACGGCAUGGGUGGGGUUGUAGGACCACGCCGUGGCAAGAAAGUUGGUGAGCAGAAUGUUCUGGAAAGUACAGCCAUAGAGCAUGACAGCUGCGUAUGCGAAGCCAAGCGAAGCCUAGUGGUAUCCUGAGUAGCGCGGAGCACGAGGAAUUCUGCGUGAAUCUGCCGGGACCAUCCGGUAAGGCUAAAUACUCCCGAGAGACCGAUAGUGAACCAGUACUGUGAAGGAAAGGUGAAAAGCACUUCGAACAGAAGAGUGAAAUAGUUCCUGAAACCAUGUGCCUACAAGCGGUCGGAGCACCUUCUGGUGUGACGGCGUGCCUUUUGCAUAAUGAACCUACGAGUUACUUUUUCCGGCGAGGUUAAGGAUUUCAGAUCUGCAGCCGAAGCGAAAGCGAGUCUGAACAGGGCGUAUAGUCGGAAGGAGUAGACGCGAAACCAAGUGAUCUACCCUUGGGCAGGUUGAAGGAUGGGUAACACCAUCUGGAGGACCGAACCAAUAAGCGUUGAAAAGCUUCUGGAUGACCUGAGGGUGGGGGUGAAAGGCUAAUCAAACUUGGAGAUAGCUCGUACUCCCCGAAAUGCAUUUAGGUGCAGCCUUGACUUAUACUGGCAUGAGGUAGAGCGACUGAUAAGAUGCGAGGGCUUCACCGCCUAUCAAGUCUUGACAAACUCCGAAUGCGUGUCAGUUCUAUGUCAGGAGUGAGGGCAUGGGUGCUAAGGUCCAUGUCCUAAAGGAGAACAAUCCGGACCAACAGCUAAGGUCCCGAAAUGAAUACUAAGUUGAACUAACGAAGUCAGAUUGCUAAGACAGCUAGGAUGUUGGCUUGGAAGCAGCCAUUCAUUUAAAGAGUGCGUAACAGCUCACUAGUCGAGGAGUUUGGCGUGGAUAAUAAUCGGGCAUUAAGCAAUUUACCGAAGCUAUGGGAUCAGUAAUGAUCGGUAGGGGAGCAUUCCACUCCGCGUCGAAGGUGAAGCGUGAGCUUUGCUGGAGCGUGUGGAAAAGCAAAUGUAGGUAUAAGUAACGAUAAAGGGGGUGAGAAACCCCCUCGCCGAAAGACUAAGGUUUCCUGAUCAACGCUAAUCGGAUCAGGGUUAGUCGGGUCCUAAGGCUCAGCCGAACGGUGAGGCCGAUGGCAGAACAGGUUAAUAUUCCUGUACUACCUUAAAGAGUGACGUGGAGACGGAGCAGUGAUAGCGCCGCGGACUGACGGAAUAGUCCGUUGAAGGGUGUAGAUGUUGAUCUUUGCAGGCAAAUCCACAAAGAGAGUCGAACCUGAUAGUAUGGAACGUUCUUCGGAACAAUCCAAUAGUGCGUGUAAACAUACUCCCAAGAAAAUCCGCUAAACUUAAUCUUUAAGGUACCCGUACCGCAAACGGACACACGUAGUCGGGUUGAAUAUACUAAGGCGCUUGAGUGAUUCACGGUUAAGGAACUAGGCAAAUUGACCCUGUAACUUCGGGAUAAAGGGUCCCAACGAGAGUUGGGCGCAGAGAAUAGGUCCAGGCAACUGUUUAACAAAAACACAGGGCUGUGCCAAAUUGAAAGAUUACGUAUACAGCCUGACACCUGCCCGGUGCUGGAAGGUUAAGAGGAGAUGUCAUCGCAAGAGAAGCAUUGAAUUGAAGCCCCAGUAAACGGCGGCCGUAACUAUAACGGUCCUAAGGUAGCGAAAUUCCUUGUCGGGUAAGUUCCG
rnacentral:rRNA from 1 species